rnacentral:tRNA from 1 species
AUCGGCUGGAAGGUGCCGGAGUUACGCAGGUCGUUGCCGAUGAUCUCGGCCAUGUCUUCCGGCAAGACGGUUCCACCUUGCCAGCCGAAC